GGUGCUCGAGUGGCGAACGGGUGAGUAACACGUGAGUAACCUGCCCUUGACUUUGGGAUAACUUCAGGAAACUGGGGCUAAUACCGGAUAGGAGCUCCUGCUGCAUGGUGGGGGUUGGAAAGUUUCGGCGGUUGGGGAUGGACUCGCGGCUUAUCAGCUUGUUGGUGGGGUAGUGGCUUACCAAGGCUUUGACGGGUAGCCGGCCUGAGAGGGUGACCGGCCACAUUGGGACUGAGAUACGGCCCAGACUCCUACGGGAGGCAGCAGUGGGGAAUAUUGCACAAUGGGCGGAAGCCUGAUGCAGCAACGCCGCGUGCGGGAUGACGGCCUUCGGGUUGUAAACCGCUUUCGCCUGUGACGAAGCGUGAGUGACGGUAAUGGGUAAAGAAGCACCGGCUAACUACGUGCCAGCAGCCGCGGCGAUACGUAGGGUGCGAGCGUUGUCCGGAUUUAUUGGGCGUAAAGGGCUCGUAGGUGGUUGAUCGCGUCGGAAGUGUAAUCUUGGGGCUUAACCCUGAGCGUGCUUUCGAUACGGGUUGACUUGAGGAAGGUAGGGGAGAAUGGAAUUCCUGGUGGAGCGGUGGAAUGCGCAGAUAUCAGGAGGAACACCAGUGGCGAAGGCGGUUCUCUGGGCCUUUCCUGACGCUGAGGAGCGAAAGCGUGGGGAGCGAACAGGCUUAGAUACCCUGGUAGUCCACGCUGUAAACGGUGGGUACUAGGUGUGGGGUCCAUUCCACGGGUUCCGUGCCGUAGCUAACGCUUUAAGUACCCCGCCUGGGGAGUACGGCCGCAAGGCUAAAACUCAAAGGAAUUGACGGGGCCCCGCACAAGCGGCGGAGCAUGCGGAUUAAUUCGAUGCAACGCGUAGAACCUUACCUGGGUUGACAUGGAUCGGG
rnacentral:rRNA from 1 species